AGAUUAAGAGCUUAUAGAGCAUCUUAAUUUCGACUUAAGAUAUGAAUUUU
rnacentral:tRNA from 1 species